rnacentral:rRNA from 1 species
UAUUUACAGGCUUAACACAUGCAAGUCGAGGGGCAGCAUGGUCUUAGCUUGCUAAGGCCGAUGGCGACCGGCGCACGGGUGAGUAACACGUAUCCAACCUGCCGUCUACUCUUGGACAGCCUUCUGAAAGGAAGAUUAAUACAAGAUGGCAUCAUGAGUCCACAUGUUCACAUGAUUAAAGGUAUUCCGGUAGACGAUGGGGAUGCGUUCCAUUAGAUAGUAGGCGGGGUAACGGCCCACCUAGUCUUCGAUGGAUAGGGGUUCUGAGAGGAAGGUCCCCCACAUUGGAACUGAGACACGGUCCAAACUCCUACGGGAGGCAGCAGUGAGGAAUAUUGGUCAAUGGGCGAGAGCCUGAACCAGCCAAGUAGCGUGAAGGAUGACUGCCCUAUGGGUUGUAAACUUCUUUUAUAAAGGAAUAAAGUCGGGUAUGGAUACCCGUUUGCAUGUACUUUAUGAAUAAGGAUCGGCUAACUCCGUGCCAGCAGCCGCGGUAAUACGGAGGAUCCGAGCGUUAUCCGGAUUUAUUGGGUUUAAAGGGAGCGUAGAUGGAUGUUUAAGUCAGUUGUGAAAGUUUGCGGCUCAACCGUAAAAUUGCAGUUGAUACUGGAUAUCUUGAGUGCAGUUGAGGCAGGCGGAAUUCGUGGUGUAGCGGUGAAAUGCUUAGAUAUCACGAAGAACUCCGAUUGCGAAGGCAGCCUGCUAAGCUGCAACUGACAUUGAGGCUCGAAAGUGUGGGUAUCAAACAGGAUUAGAUACCCUGGUAGUCCACACGGUAAACGAUGAAUACUCGCUGUUUGCGAUAUACAGCAAGCGGCCAAGCGAAAGCGUUAAGUAUUCCACCUGGGGAGUACGCCGGCAACGGUGAAACUCAAAGGAAUUGACGGGGGCCCGCACAAGCGGAGGAACAUGUGGUUUAAUUCGAUGAUACGCGAGGAACCUUACCCGGGCUUAAAUUGCAGAUGAAUUACGGUGAAAGCCGUAAGCCGCAAGGCAUCUGUGAAGGUGCUGCAUGGUUGUCGUCAGCUCGUGCCGUGAGGUGUCGGCUUAAGUGCCAUAACGAGCGCAACCCUUGUUGUCAGUUACUAACAGGUUCCGCUGAGGACUCUGACAAGACUGCCAUCGUAAGAUGUGAGGAAGGUGGGGAUGACGUCAAAUCAGCACGGCCCUUACGUCCGGGGCUACACACGUGUUACAAUGGGGGGUACAGAGGGCCGCUACCACGCGAGUGGAUGCCAAUCCCAAAAACCUCUCUCAGUUCGGACUGGAGUCUGCAACCCGACUCCACGAAGCUGGAUUCGCUAGUAAUCGCGCAUCAGCCACGGCGCGGUGAAUACGUUCCCGGGCCUUGUACACACCGCCCGUCAAGCCAUGGGAGCCGGGGGUACCUGAAGUGCGUAACCGCGAGGAGCGCCCUAGGGUAAAACUGGUGACUGG